rnacentral:rRNA from 1 species
AUUGAACGCUGGCGGAAUGCUUUACACAUGCAAGUCGAACGGCAGCACGGACUUCGGUCUGGUGGCGAGUGGCGAACGGGUGAGUAAUGUAUCGGAACGUGCCCAGUCGUGGGGGAUAACGUAGUGAAAAUUACGCUAAUACCGCAUACGAUCUAUGGAUGAAAGCGGGGGAUCGCAAGACCUCGCGCGAUUGGAGCGGCCGAUAUCAGAUUAGGUAGUUGGUGGGGUAAAGGCCCACCAAGCCAACGAUCUGUAGCUUGUCGGAGAGGACGACCAGCCACACUGGAACUGAGACACGGUCCAGACUCCUACGGGAGGCAGCAGUGGGGAAUUUUGGACAAUGGGCGCAAGCCUGAUCCAGCCAUUCCGCGUGCAGGAUGAAGGCCCUCGGGUUGUAAACUGCUUUUGUACAGAACGAAAAGGUUUCUACUAAUACUAGGAGCUCAUGACGGUACUGUAAGAAUAAGCACCGGCUAACUACGUGCCAGCCGCCGCAGUAA